rnacentral:rRNA from 1 species
CCCUAGUAUAUAAUAGUAAGGAAUUAGUAAUGUUGAAAUUUAAAAUUUUUGGCGGUUAAUUAUUUAAUUAGAGGAGCUUGUUUAGUGGAAUUUGCUCUUUAUAUUUAAUUAUUAAAAGUUUAUUUAUCUCCGUUAUAAGAUGAAAAUUUCAUAAUUUUGAUAUUUAAUUUCAGGUCAAGAUGUAGCUAUUGAUAAGAUGAAAUUAGCUACAUUUAUAAAAUAAUGAAUUUGAAUUGAGAAGAAUAAAAAUUUAUGAAAUUGAAUUUAGUUGUAAUGAAUUUUAUGAUGAAUUUGUGAAGAUUUUGUAAUUAAUGUA